rnacentral:rRNA from 1 species
GAUGAACGCUGGCGGCGUGCCUAAUACAUGCAAGUCGAGCGAACGGACGAGAAGCUUGCUCCUCUGAUGUUAGCGGCGGACGGGUGAGUAACACGUGGAUAACCUACCUAUAAGACUGGGAUAACUUCGGGAAACCGGAGCUAAUACCGGAUAAUAUAUUGAACCGCAUGGUUCAAUAGUGAAAGACGGUCUUGCUGUCACUUAUAGAUGGAUCCGCGCUGCAUUAGCUAGUUGGUAAGGUAACGGCUUACCAAGGCAACGAUGCGUAGCCGACCUGAGAGGGUGAUCGGCCACACUGGAACUGAGACACGGUCCAGACUCCUACGGGAGGCAGCAGUAGGGAAUCUUCCGCAAUGGGCGAAAGCCUGACGGAGCAACGCCGCGUGAGUGAUGAAGGUCUUCGGAUCGUAAAACUCUGUUAUUAGGGAAGAACAUAUGUGUAAGUAACUAUGCACAUCUUGACGGUACCUAAUCAGAAAGCCACGGCUAACUACGUG